rnacentral:rRNA from 1 species
GAUGAACGCUGGCGGCGUGCCUAAUACAUGCGAGUCGAGCGAACGGGCGAGGAGCUUGCUGGUCGGAUGUUAGCGGCGGACGGGUGAGUAACGCGUGUAUAACCUACCUAUAAUACUGGGAUAACUUCGGGAAACCGGAGCUAAUACGGGAUGAUAUUUUGAACCGCGGGGUGCAAAGGUGAAAGACGGUCUUGCGGGCACUUAUAGAGGGAUCCGGGCUGCAUUAGCGAGUUGGUAAGGUAACGGCUUACCAAGGCAACGAUGCAUAGCCGACCUGAGAGGCGGAUAGCCGACCUUGGAACUGAGACGGCGUCCAGGCUCCUAAGGGACGCACCAGUAGCGAACCGUCCGCAGUGGGCGAAAGCCUGACGGAGCAACGCCGCGUGAGUGAUGACGGUCUUCGGAUCGUAAAACUGUGUUAUUAGGUAUGAACCUAUGUGUAAGUAACUGUGCACAUCUUGACGGUACUUAAUCAGAAAGCCACGGCUAACUACGUG